ensembl:lncRNA
UUUGAAUCUUCAUUUUGGCUAAUAUACCCCUCCUUAGUUUUAAAGGAGAUCUCAGGGAUGAAAUAUAUCUGCUGAGUGGACAACCAGAGAUAAUGGGAUAUAAUGUAAAUCAGAUGUACUGAGAGUUUUUUCAGCCUUGCAGUCAUUCAGCUAGACUGAUUUCCCAACUCUUUUCGACCACUGGAGACAUUAUGGAAAACCCCAGCUAUCUGUCAAGUUGGCUAGAGCGGGCAGCACAUGUUCCUGUGGAUUCAGAUGGCCAGUCAAGGAGAUCUCUCAGCAGAGAACCCCUCAGACUGACAGUUGCAUGCUGGGACAUCACUAUGAAUCAACCCUCACCAAUGCUUUGAUGCCACCAAAACACGAAGGAAACUCUUGUUCUUGAUAAAUUGCCUUAAGAAAAAAAAAAAAAA